UGCCGAACAUCUGACUAUCGCUACCAUGGAAUAAACACAGGGAAGGCAGAUAGUAUUUCGGACAGUUGGUCAAAAUUUACCGGUCUUAAUAUCAGAAAUUCACCAGUCAAAAUUUACCAGUACUAUUGAUUUCAAAGGAUCAAUAAAAAGAUUUAUCAACUGAAGUAAAUCAGAUCACAUAUCGUCAUGAGUUGUUGUGGACCAUGUCGCCCCUGCCCACCAUGUCAAGUGCGUUAUUGCCCUGGCCUACAUGACAAGCAGGUAGCAAUUAAAGGUGGUGUCUUGAUACAAUGCACAUGUUGGUAUCAUUAUGGAUUACAACAUGAAUGCCCAUUUCAUGGAGUGGACUCACCAUCAAGAGGUGCAUGUUUCCCAUGUUGGAGAUGAAUGACAAUUAUGAAGAAGAUGAAACUGCAGAGAAAACAUCAGAAAAACUUACUAAGAACAUGAUGAUAUGUAAUUACUCAGGCAAUUUGGAAGUGAGCAUUUAACUUGAAAUGUAUGUUUGAUGUGUUUUUAAACAUUGUUUAAUAAAAUUAAAUGUAGUCAAAUUUCCAAUUAA